UAAAGUCGGUAACCGUAAGGAGGCUGCCUAGGGUAAAAUACGAUGACUGGGGCU
rnacentral:rRNA from 1 species